CGCACGCACCGGCUCCACUCCUUCUCCCCUGCCUCUCCCUACCCAGGCUCCACCUCCCAGUGCUGACAUCGCUAUUCUCCAUUGGCAACCACAUCGCAGUAGUCCAAUCCACAGCGUAGUCCAAUCCGCGUCGGGGUGUGGGAGCUGCGGCCGCGGAGGGGUCAGACGAGGCGGCGAAGCUGGUGGGCUCGCUGCUGCGGAGGACAGCCGACGGCAAGGAGCGGUUGGUGUCGGUGCUGGACAGCCUCCAUGAACCCGCUUGAAGAUAGUUGCUCCAAUCGGUCACAUCUCAAGUCUAUGCAAUGUUCAAGGUAAUAUAUUAUUUGGAGCUGCUGCUUAUCGUGACAUUAUUUGGAAGUACGAGUUUUACUACCCAAAAGAGAAAUUGAAGAAGUUGUAGAAAAAGAAAUCAUCAACAUCUACUGAAGAAAAGAAGUUGUCAAGGAUAAGAUUUGAUGGUGUGCUCUGUAACUCUUCAUCAAGAUUGCUAACACAAAUGAGUACAUUGAUGGACAACUCUGGAAAUCUGGUUGAGAUUCUGACCAGGCAACACCUUGCUGCAGUGAAGUGCUAGAACAGCCGUCGACGACUUGACCUAGACACGCGUGUAUCCAGCAGAUCCUGCAUGUGUGCGCGUGUAUCUUCGGCCAGCACUCAACAGCUCCUGCGUGCGUACGAAAGAAAUGGAUGGCGCUAGUGCUCCUACGUGCGUGCGUGUGUCAGCUGGGUGCGUGCGUGCGUGUGUCAGCUGGGUGCGUGCGUGCGUGUGUCAGCUGGGUGCGUGCGUGCGUGUGUCAGCGGCUCCUGGGUGCGUGCGUGCGUGUGAAAUAUGUGGACGGCUGGAUUUGAAGUUUUCAGGGAGCAUGCCAAUAUAACCUAGAUAUUAUAUAUAUGGAUGUAGGCCUGGAUGUACAUGAAUGUUA